UCAGAGGCCCAAUGCAGCCUUGAGGACAGUUGGGAAGGCUAGCUAGAUGUACCAACACCUGAAAUGAUUUGUAAGACAUAGAACUGUCUAUCCCAGAGGACAGAAGGCCAGAUGAAGUCAUCAAAGCUUUGAAGAAGAGGGCAAAGAUGUUCUCAAGGGUCAAGAAUGGACCACAGAUCAGAGAGACUGAGAAGGUGCAUGGAGCUGUUGUCAAGGAAACCACUUCCUCAUCAAACGAAGCAUCUUUUCAGGGACCAGCUUAGCCCGAGAUGGUAAUCUCCAAGGUUCAAGCCUGAGAACUAAGGCCUCGUUCCAGCACAUUCUGGAGCUUGGGAAGACGACGUUGGAGUCAUUAGUCACACGAGAGGGAAAAGAAAUGAAUGGCUUCUACCUCCAUCAACAUCCCCGUGGGGAGUGAAGAAGUAUCUGGAAGCAAGACAGUGAUCCCGGGUUUACUCCUCAAAGGAGC